GAUGUACGCUAGCUACAGGCUUAACACAUGCAAGUCGAGGGGCAGCAUGACCUAGCAAUAGGUUGAUGGCGACCGGCGCACGGGUGAGUAACACGUAUCCAACCUGCCGAUUAUUCCGGGAUAGCCUUUCGAAAGAAAGAUUAAUACUGGAUAGCAUAACGAGAAGGCAUCUUCUUGUUAUUAAAGAAUUUCGAUAAUCGAUGGGGAUGCGUUCCAUUAGUUUGUUGGCGGGGUAACGGCCCACCAAGACAUCGAUGGAUAGGGGUUCUGAGAGGAAGGUCCCCCACAUUGGAACUGAGACACGGUCCAAACUCCUACGGGAGGCAGCAGUGAGGAAUAUUGGUCAAUGGACGAGAGUCUGAACCAGCCAAGUAGCGUGAAGGAUGACUGCCCUAUGGGUUGUAAACUUCUUUUAUAUGGGAAUAAAGUGCAGUAUGUAUACUGUUUUGUAUGUACCAUACGAAUAAGGAUCGGCUAACUCCGUGCCAGCAGCCGCGGUAAUACGGAGGAUCCGAGCGUUAUCCGGAUUUAUUGGGUUUAAAGGGAGCGUAGGCGGAUUAUUAAGUCAGUUGUGAAAGUUUGCGGCUCAACCGUAAAAUUGCAGUUGAUACUGGUAGUCUUGAGUGCAGCAGAGGUAGGCGGAAUUCGUGGUGUAGCGGUGAAAUGCUUAGAUAUCACGAAGAACUCCGAUUGCGAAGGCAGCUUACUGGACUGUAACUGACGCUGAUGCUCGAAAGUGUGGGUAUCAAACAGGAUUAGAUACCCUGGUAGUCCACACAGUAAACGA
rnacentral:rRNA from 1 species